rnacentral:rRNA from 1 species
UUUAGGCGGCCCGGCGCAGGGGACCCACCUCUUCCCAUCCCGAACAGAGAAGUUAAGCCCUGCAGCGCCGAUGGUACUGGGGUUACACCUGGGAGAGAAGUGCCUGUCCCGACUCAUC